ensembl:lncRNA
GUUUAAAGACAUGACUCACUGUGUGCACUAGCAUUCAUAUAGAUAGGCUGCUGCUGCUGCAAGCCCCACAGCACGGUGGACUAAACCAUUUUUUUAUCUGUAAGGGGUGAAAUGGCAUCACACCUAGUGUUAUCACGGCUAGUUAGGAAUCAAAGUUUAGUCACCUGACUGAUUUAUUCAUGAAAUUUAAAUAUGACACUAAUUACUAAAAAACAAAAAAAAUGCAAACUAAAAAAAAAAAUGUUUCAGGUUUGGAUAGACCCCUCCCACCUCAGGGGCCCUGGGUAGUCCUACUCUUCCUCCACCGCUUCCACGCCCCUGCUUGCGUUGACACGAUCACGGAAGACGCGGAAGACGCACGGAUAUUUAAACAACAUUAAAUGUUAAUGUUUUUAAUAAAGUACAACUCAGAUAAUCUCACGCCCAGGAUCUAUCGAUAAGGAAGUUUAAAGUUUUUUUAAAGCUGAAGAAGGAAAAGUCCGAACACGGAAAUGAGAGCUGGCAGGUCUGCGUGUCUCUGCUGGAGUUUACUGUUUGUCUGCGUCCUGCUGGUCUCUGCAGACCGCAAAAUCAUCACAGCGGAUAGUGGACAGACUGCCACUCUGCCGUGUCGAGGUCCAAACAGCGACAUCAUAGGUGUGGAGUGGAGCAGAGCUGACCUGAAGACACAAUAUGUCCUUUUGUACCGAGACGAGCAGCUCGAUCCAACAAACCAGCAUCCGAAUUUUAAGGACCGGGUGGAUCUGCAGGACAGACAGAUGACGGAUGGAGACGUGUCUCUGAUUCUGAAGGAUGUGAAAACUGAGGACACAGGAACAUAUGAGUGUCAUUUGUUAGAUGGGAAGUCCAUCAGCAGCAUCUAUCUGAGAGUUGUUGCUCCAGCUCAGACAGGAGGACAGAGUGGAGAUGGAGUGAACGAGGAUGGAUUUGUUGGACUGAGAGCUGGUCUGCCUCUUCCUGUGAUGUUCAUCAUUGCUGGUGUAUUUUUAAUUUACCGAAAACAUAAAAAACGCAGGCGUCACGGUUUGUACUAUCAUGUGUGAACUGAAACUCUUUGUUGCACUACAUGAAGCAGGAAAAUGGUGGAGCGGUUUACAGUGGAGAUGUGGCCAUUACUUUUAUUUAUUUUUUGCACAGAAGGACAACAGAGCAAUGCUAAACAGUAUCCUGCUAACAGAACUUUGGCUCUUUGCAACCAUUUGCACAGACAGCAUGCUAACACUAAGUUAGCCAAUAACACAGAGUGUUGCUGAAAGUGGGUGUAUGCUGACCCCAGCCCAGCAGCCAGAGUCUGAACUUGCACAGGUAACAAAGGCAGAGAUGAUCAGUCAGACUUGAAAUUGGUGUUUCUACCUGUCCGUGUUUCUAUAGUAGAGCAGCUGUGGUGAUCACUUUGAAGUCAUCUUUGCUUUGUGUUGAAACCUGAAUAAUAAAAGAAAGAUCAUAUAUGUGUGUCCUCAUUAGGACAGGGAUUUUUGUUGAUGUGUGGGACUCGGUGUAAUGACACCAAAGCUGGUUAUAAGACACAAACACAAGAAUCAAACUGAGCUGUUAAGAGUUCAUGACAGAAACUGAGUAAUUUGUCAUCACAUGAAGUCAGAUUAUAUCAAGUAAUUAAUAGACAUGGAACUAUUUUUUCUUCUCUCCAUUAAGUGUUUUCUCUUAAAGGUGAAGCUAGUUUUCCUCUCUAUGAAUUAUAAUGUAAAAUGUCCUGUUUUUACAGUUUUGUAAACAAAGCUUUAUAUUUUAUACGCUAAUGCUAACAAAAACUGUUUCAUUUGUGAAUGUGAAGAUAUCCUGUAAGUUGUCAGAUUAAUGCAGCUAUUACAGUAAAAUGACUCUUUGCACAGAUAAAGCUUUACCUCCAUGUGUGAGUGAUCGAAGCAGAUGCUGUAUAGACAUGUUUGUAUUCACUGAAAUUCACAAGAACGUCUCGUGUGAAGUUCACAUUUAAAAACAGGGUCUAAACGGUAAAGAUGAUUUGGUAGACAGAGGAUGGAGGGUGGGUGGAUGAAUUGAUGGAUAUUUUUUAUACAUCCAAAUAAGAAAAAAUGAUUAUAAUUAAGGAUUAAACUAUAUCACUGUACAUUCAUGCUACUGGAAGGAUUCAUUAAAUAGAAUAACAUCAAGUGAAACGCUACAUGUAUAAAGGCUACCUUACACCACAAAGCCUCGCUCUAAAAAGCUUUCACAGAUUUAACACUGUGAAGCUGGGAAUAAAGUUUCUAUUUUUAGAGUAUGUUUGGCACCAUGUUGUGCAAGUACCGCAUGUGAUGUUACUGGGUUGGUUGGCUAAUAGACUUCUAUUCAUUUAUGUUAGCUAACUAGUGACAGAUCAGAUGUACCUGACUCAAACUGGCUCUCCUCCUCACUCUUAAAACAGGUGGAUUUUCAUGUUUCAGUUCAGCUAGCCGAUGUUGAAGAAUCACUUGCUGCUAAAGAGACAGAGGUGUAAAUUAACCUUUACACAUGUAAUGUUUCAUGUCCACUUUAAAUACAAUGCAGGGAUUUAGUGUAACACAUGGGAUACGUCCAAGUGAACACAUUUACGUUAAUUACUUACAUAAAAGUCUUCUUAGCUUACAAAGUUUUUCUAUCAGGCUGUAAAGAUGUCGUUAUGUAAACUUUAACAGAUUGACAGGUGACAGGAUAUGAUGUAUGCUGCUGUAGUGAAACUGGAAUGGGGUUUAAAACUUGUGAUUUUAACACAGAUAAUUUAUGCACUUUUUAAUUUUAUGAUGUUUAAGACUUUGAAAAAGUAUUUUCAUGAAGUCAGAGCUCCUAUCUUGAGAGCACAGGGUUAGCUUAAUGUGACAUCAGAGGCUGAGGAGGAGGAGAAGCUUCCACUUUAUCUUUGUGGUAAAAUGUUUCACUGUGUUUAAAGACAUGAAUAAAAACUGUGUUAAAUCAAU